AUGACGGUGGUGGUGAUGAUGGCGGUGGUCAUGGUAGCGGUGGUCGUGGUGGUGGUGGUCAUGGUGGUGAUGGUAGCAGUGGUCACGGUGGUGGUGAUGGAGUCAUUUAGCCUGGACAUUUCUAACACGGGACUUGGGGACAUCUCUGUGGAGGCCGGUGUCAUCUCAAAGCAAGUAAGUAAGCAAGCGUGUUUUAUUAUUAAUUUUACAGAUCCAUCUGCCGAGGAAUUGAGAAAGCUAAUGAUGUUGCAUGGAGGCCAGUAUCACGUGUAUUAUUCCAGAUCCAAAACAACACACAUCAUUGCCACAAAUCUUCCUAAUGCCAAAAUCAAAGAGUUAAAGGGAGAAAAAGUAAUUCGACCAGAAUGGAUUGUGGAAAGCAUCAAAGCUGGGCGACUCCUGUCCUGCAUUCCCUAUCAGCUGUACAGCAAGCCGUCCUCUGUGCAGAAGAGCCUCAACUUUAAUCCUGUGUGCAAACCUGAGGACCCGCUCCCCGGGCCCAGCAGCAUCACCAAGCAGCUCAACGACAGGGUAAAUCACAUAAUUAAGAAAAUUGAGACGGAAAGUGAAGUCAGAGUCAAUGGAGUGAACAACUGGAACGAAGAAGCUGCAGAUAAUGACUUUGAUUUUGUGGGGCUGGAGCCUGUCUUCCCAGGAAGGAAACAGAACGGAAUUCCGCAUCCCAGAGGUGGCCGUGCCCUUUGUAAUGGGCACGCCCACAGCUCUCACGGUGCCUUAAAAAGCUUGGACUGCUUGGCGCCCCCGGGCAGUGGUGUCGCCAGCAGGCUGUCCCCAGAGCCUGCCCAGGAGGAGGCCGCGGGGGCCGAGAGGAGCCGCGGCGCCUUCAGAGACUGCACCGUGCAGCCGGCCCAGCAGAGCGCCUGCAGCGCGGACGCUCUGCGGGAUCCACACAGAACUAAGCCCUUCUCCUCGCCACCUUUGCACAGUAACCCUCGAGUCAACGGUGCUCACCACUCCACCGUUCAGGGGCCUUCAAGCACAAAGAGCACUUCUUCAGUACCUUCCCCAAGCAGGGGGCGGCCCUCGGGGCCGCCCAGACCCUCGGACUUCAACUUCAUCUCGGACUUCUACUCCCGGUCGAGACUGCACCACAUAUCCGCGUGGAAGUGGGAACUGACUGAGUUUGUCAAUGCGCUGCAGAAACAGAGUAGUGGUGUCUUUCCAGGAAGGGAAAAGUUAAAAAAAAUGAAAGCAGGCAGGUCCGCACUUGUUGUAACUGACACAGGAAAUAUGUCAGUAUUGAGUUCACCCAGACAUCAGAGCUGUAUAAUGCAUGUUGAUAUGGAUUGCUUCUUUGUAUCAGUGGGUAUACGAAAUAGACCAGAUCUCAAAGGAAAACCAGUGGCUGUUACAAGUAACAGGGGCACCGGCAGGGCCCCUCUGCGUCCUGGCGCUAACCCCCAGUUGGAGUGGCAGUAUUAUCAGAAUAAGAUCCUGAGAGGCAAAGCAGAAAUACCAGAUCCAUCAACGUGGGAGAGUCAAGAUUCCGCACAGAUAAAUGGAAUUGAUUCUGUUUUGUCAAAGGCUGAAAUCGCAUCUUGUAGUUAUGAAGCCAGACAAGUUGGCAUUAGGAAUGGAAUGUAUUUCGGGUAUGCCAAACAGCUCUGUCCCAAUCUCCAGGCGGUCCCUUAUGAUUUCCACGCGUAUAAAGAGGUUGCACAAACGAUGUACGAGACGCUGGCCAGCUACACACACGACAUCGAAGCCGUCAGCUGUGAUGAAGCCCUGGUAGACAUCACCGAGAUCCUCGCCGAGACCAGACUCACGCCUGACGAGUUUGCGAAUGCUGUCCGCAUGGAAAUUAAGGACCAGACCAAAUGUGCUGCCUCUGUGGGGAUCGGUUCUAAUAUUCUACUGGCUAGAAUGGCAACUAGAAAAGCAAAACCAGAUGGCCAAUACCACUUAAAACCAGAAGAAGUAGAUGAUUUUAUCAGAGGUCAGCUAGUUACUAACCUACCAGGAGUUGGACGUUCCAUGGAAUCCAAGCUGAUGUCUUUGGGGAUUAGGACGUGUGGAGACUUGCAGUAUAUGACCAUGGCCAAACUCCAGAAAGAAUUUGGUUCCAAAACUGGUCAGAUGCUUUAUAGGUUCUGCCGAGGUUUGGACGACAGACCAGUUCGCACUGAAAAGGAAAGAAAAUCUAUUUCAGCUGAGAUCAACUAUGGAAUAAGGUUUUCCCAGCCAAAAGAAGCAGAAGCUUUUCUUCUGAGUCUUUCAGAAGAAAUUCAGCGGCGCCUUGAAGCUGUAGGCAUGAAGGGUAAACGCCUGACUCUCAAAAUCAUGGUACGGAAGCCGGGAGCCCCUGUAGAAUCCGCCAAAUAUGGAGGCCAUGGCAUUUGUGACAUCACCACCAGGACCGUGACUCUUGACCAAGCAACAGACAGUGCAAAACUCAUUGGCACAGCCACGCUGAACAUGUUUCACACGAUGAAGCUCAGCAUAGCUGACAUGCGAGGGGUUGGGAUUCAUGUGAAUCAGUUGGUUCCAGCGAAUCCAAACCCGCCCGCGUGCCUCAGCCACCCAGCGGCCCAGCCCAGCCACGGUGCGGGCAGGGCCCCGUCGGUCCUGGAGCUCCUGCAGGCCCAGCGGGCGAGGCGGCCCCCGGAAGAGGAGCCCGCAGUAUUUCUGGCUGCUGUGGAUCUGGAAAUGCCACCUGCCCCUCGAUCUUGCACUGUGCCGUCUCUGUCUCCACACCUGACGUCAGGUGUCGUGCCUGUCACUACCAGCAAAGCCGAGUGUGCCAGCAAGUGGAAUGGGCUGCAUUCUCCCGUCAGUUUAAAGCCAAGACUCAACUUGAGCAUAGAGGUCCCGUCACCUUCCCAGCUCGAUCGCUCCGUCCUGGAGGCUCUCCCACCCGACCUCCGGGAGCAGGUGGAGCAGGCGUGUGCUGUGCAGCAGGCGGAGCCACCAGGCGACCGGAGGAGAGAGCCUGUCAAUGGCUGCAGCACAGGGAUCCUGCCACAACCCGUGGGGACUGUGCUGCUACAAAUCCCGGCACCUCAAGACCCUAACAGUGACACGGGAAUUAAUUUAAUAGCCCUUCCGGCAUUUUCCCAGGUGGACCCAGAGGUGUUUGCGGCUCUCCCUGUGGAGCUUCAGAAGGAGCUGAGAGCAGCCUACGAUCAAAGACAGCGUCAGGGAGAACACAGCCCUCCCCAGCAGCCGGCCGGCGCCCCCGUGCCAAAGAACCCGUUACUGCAGCUAAAACCAGCAGCAGCGAAAGACAAGAAAAGAAACAAGAAAAAAAAUCCCCUCAGCCCCCAAAGAAAGAUUCAGAGCCCUCUGAAAACCACCCUGGUGAACAGCCCAGCGAAGACCCUGCCAGGGGCCUGCACAAGUCCCCAGAAGCUCCUUGAUGGGUUUCUAAAACACGAAGGUCCCACGUCAGAGAAACCUCUGGGAGAACUCUCUGCUUCCACUUCAGGUGUUGCUGGCCUUUCUGGGUUGCAGCCUGACGUAUCCACAAGUGUCAGGCCCCCGGCGCCCAACCUGGCUGGAGCCGUGGAGUUCAGUGACGUGAAGACUCUGCUCAGAGAGUGGAUCACCACCAUCUCAGAUCCGAUGGAGGAAGACAUUCUGCAAGUUGUAAAAUACUGCACUGAUCUAAUAGAGGAAAAGGAUUUGGAAAAGUUGGACCUCGUUAUAAAAUACAUGAAAAGGCUGAUGCAGCAGUCGGUGGAGUCGGUUUGGAAUAUGGCAUUUGACUUUAUUCUCGACAAUGUUCAGGUGGUUUUACAGCAAACGUACGGAAGCACAUUAAAAGUCACAUGAAGAUGAAUUACCAGGGAGCCUGGCGCUCUCCGCUAGCUGUGCCAUAAGUGCUUGUGAGGUAUUUGCAAAGUGCAUGAUAGUAAUGCUCUGAGUUUUAUAAUUUUAAAUUUCUUUUUAAGCAAAGUGUUUUGUACAUUUCUUUUCAGUAAGUGCCAAAUUUGUCAGUAUUGCAUGUAAAUAAUUGUGUUCUUUUACUGUAGCAUAGAUUCUAUUUACAAAAUGUUUGUUUAUAAAGUUUUAUGGAUUUUUACAGUGAAGUGUUUACAGUUGUUUAAUAAAGAACUGUAUGUAUAUUUUG
rnacentral:misc_RNA from 1 species